rnacentral:rRNA from 1 species
UACAGAGGUCUCAACCGUUGUUCGGAUUCAUUGGGCGUAAAGGGUGCGUAGGCGGUCGUGCAAGUCGGAUGUGAAAUCUCAGGGCUCAACCCAGGAACUGCAUUCGAUACUGGCGUGCUUGAGGACUGGAGAGGAGACUGGAAUUCAUGGUGUAGCAGUGAAAUGCGUAGAGAUCAUGAGGAAGACCAGUGGCGAAGGCGGGUCUCUGGACAGUUCCUGACGCUGAGGCACGAAGGUCAGGGGAGCAAACGGG